GAUGAACGCUGGCGGCGUGCCUAAUACAUGCGAGUCGAGCGAACGGACGAGAAGCUUGCUUCCCUGAUGUUAGCGGCGGACGGGUGAGUAACACGUGGAUCACCUACCUCUAAGACUGGGAUAACUUCGGGAAACCGGAGCUAAUACCGGAUAAUAUUUUGAACCGCAUGGUUCAAAAGUGAAAGACGGUCUUGCUGUCACUUAUAGAUGGAUCCGCGCUGCAUUAGUUAGUUGGUAAGGUAACGGCUUACCAAGGCAACGAUGCGUAGCCGACCUGAGAGGGUGAUCGGCCACACUGGAACUGAGACACGGUCCAGACUCCUACGGGAGGCAGCAGUAGGGAAUCUUCCGCAAUGGGCGAAAGCCUGACGGAGCAACACCGCGUGAGUGAUGAAGGUCUUCGGAUCGUAAAACUCUGUUAUUAGGGAAGAACAUAUGUGUAAGUAACUGUGCACAUCUUGACGGUACCUAAUCAGAAAGCCACGGCUAACUACGUG
rnacentral:rRNA from 1 species